AACCUCCGCAAUGUGAGAAAUCGCGACGGGGGGAUCCCAAGUGCCAUUCUUAACGGGAUGGCUUUUCAUUAGUGUAAAGAGCUUUUGGAAUAAGGGCUGGGCAAGACCGGUGCCAGCCGCCGCGGUAACACCGGCAGCUCUAGUGGUAGCAGUUUUUAUUGGGCCUAAAGCGUCCGUAGCCGGUUUAAUAAGUCUCUGGUGAAAUCCUGUAGCUUAACUGUGGGAAUUGCUGGAGAUACUAUUAGACUUGAGACCGGGAGAGGUUAGAGGUACUCCCAGGGUAGAGGUGAAAUUCUGUAAUCCUGGGAGGACCGCCUGUUGCGAAGGCGUCUAACUGGAACGGUUCUGACGGUGAGGGACGAAAGUUAGGGGCGCGAACCGGGAUUAGAUACCCGGGUAGUCCUAACUGUAAACGAUGCGGACUUGGUGUUGGGGUGGCUUUGAGCUGCUCCAGUGCCGAAGGGAAGCUGUUAAGUCCGCCGCCUGGGAAGUACGGUCGCAAGACUGAAACUUAAAGGAAUU
rnacentral:rRNA from 1 species